rnacentral:lncRNA from 1 species
GGCAAAGAUCCAAAGAAGUCAAGAGGCAAAAAUGUCAUUAUACACAUUAUUUGUGCAAACUUGCCAGGAGGAGCACAGGAAGCACCCAGAUGGUUCAGUCAGCUUCUAAGGGUCUUUCUAAGAAGCGCUCAAAGAGGUGGAAAACCACGUUUGCUAAAGAGAAGGGAAAAUGUGAAGACAGGCAAAGAUAACCCUGGCCCAUUAUGAAAGAGAAAUGAAAGCCUACACCCCUCCUAAAGGGAAAACAAAAUAGAAGUUCAAGGAUCCCAAUACACCCAACGGGCCUCCUUUGUUUGGCCUUUUUCUUGUUCUGUUCUGAGUAUGGGCCAAAAAUCAAAGGUAAACAUCCUGGCCUAUCCACUGGAUAUACUGUAAAGAAACUGGGAGAGCUGCAGGUGACAAGCAACCUUAUGGAAAGAUGGCUGUGAAGCUGAAGGAAAAAUACAAAAAGGAUAUUGCUGCAUACCAAGCUAAAGGAAAGCCUGAUGCUGCAAAAAAAAAAAAACACGAGUCAUCAAGGCUGAAAAAAAAAGCAAGAAAAAGAAGAAAGAUGAGGAAAAUGAAGAGAAUGAGGAAGAAGAGGAAAAUAAAGAUAAACAUGAAGAUGAUGAC